CUAACACAGUCGGCCCAGGAUGGUGUAUAACAAGUGCGUUGUGAAGGGAUGUACAACCACUUCAUUGAAGAAGAACAUAGCUCUAUUUGAUACACCAGACAAUGAAGCGCUUUUUGCCAGGUGGCAAGAAAACAUCAUAACCAAUGAUGGCCAGCCAAUUACAGUUAACUCUAAAGUUUGCGAAUUACAUUUUAAUGCAAGGUGCAUUCGUAAAGAAAUAGUAUCCCACAGAAAUUAUAAAAUAGUCUGCGCUCUGUACUGUCAAGAAAUGCAAUUCCGUGUCUUAAGUUAGGGCAAACAGAAGUGAAAGAAUCUACUAGUGAUGCAGCAAAACAAGAAACAGUUGCCAACGUCGAAGUGAAAAAUGAAACUGAUGUCGAACAGACACACACUGCAGAUAUUUCAACGGAUGAAGCAGCAAUUGAAUUGACAGAGACCUCAAUCCAACAAGAAGAGACCAAUGUCCAAGAAACAAAUAAUUCCAUAAGCGAGUUGAAUCUAGGUGAGAAGCACGAUCGGUUAAUUACUAGGAAUGAGAGUGAGUUGGAGCAAGUCUCCUUGUCCAGCACUGAUGGAGACUCAGUUAGUGUGGCUCUUGAAGAAUCAAGUGUCUCUGUAAAAAGAGAGUUAGCUGUCGAGGAAAACACUGGUACAUCUUCUGUAGAAGAACCUGAAAUUUCAGAGAAAGAAUGGUGAACACUGGUUGUGAAGGAACAUCUGAGAGUCCGAAGGAAAUUAGCACUGCUCCAGAUGAAGAAAACAUGGUUUUAGCUUCAGAGUCAAUCGAUAACACCACAGAUGGUGACACUGCUUUCAAUGAAAAAGAUGUCGAUGAUCACAUUACUGCUGAUACAAAUCAAAGUGAUCAAAACGAUUUUCAUACCACAGAUGGUACGAGGGCCUCUGUUAAUGACGCUAAUGUAAAUGAGGAAAUGACAAAUUCACCUCAAGGUACAUCAGUCACAGAAGGAGAACCAAAAGAUUCUAAUGGAGAAAUUUGCCAGAAGACUUCUGAUAUCAAUACUUCUGAAGCAGAGAUACCAGUAGAAAAUAUAAGUGAAACUGGCGUUAGGUUUGAAUCGAAUUCAGGUACAGUCAGUACCACAGACAACGAAGUUACGACAAAUACUUCCUCCGGAGCCAUUGAAGUCAACAUGAAAGGUAACGGAUUCACAAAUUAGCUUGAAUUCUCUCACCGAUGGUCUGUGAAAACCAUGCCAAAUAUUUUUAUAAUUUCUCCUUCUUUCUGUGAGUGGGAACGCUAAUUAGUUGAAUGAAAUUAUUUUUUUUUCAUUAAUAUGAAAAAGAGCAACAAUUGGAUUGGAUUUUGCAAGAAGGAACCACUAGCAUUGCAAUGAUGCUAAGAUUGUGCAACUUCAUCCUUUGCAAUAAAAUUACGGAAAUCUUGAAAAAGUAU
rnacentral:lncRNA from 1 species